rnacentral:rRNA from 1 species
ACUCCUACGGGAGGCAGCAGUAGGGAAUCUUCCACAAUGGGCGCAAGCCUGAUGGAGCAACACCGCGUGAGUGAAGAAGGGUUUCGGCUCGUAAAGCUCUGUUGUUAAAGAAGAACACGUAUGAGAGUAACUGUUCAUACGUUGACGGUAUUUAACCAGAAAGUCACGGCUAACUACGUGCCAGCAGCCGCGGUAAUACGUAGGUGGCAAGCGUUAUCCGGAUUUAUUGGGCGUAAAGAGAGUGCAGGCGGUUUUCUAAGUCUGAUGUGAAAGCAUUCGGCUUAACCGGAGAAGUGCAUCGGAAACUGGAUAACUUGAGUGCAGAAGAGGGUAGUGGAACUCCAUGUGUAGCGGUGGAAUGCGUAGAUAUAUGGAAGAACACCAGUGGCGAAGGCGGCUACCUGGUCUGCAACUGACGCUGAGACUCGAGAGCAUGGGUAGCGAACAGGAUUAGAUACCCUGGUAGGAUAGCG